rnacentral:rRNA from 1 species
UACAUGGGGUGCAAACGUUGCUCGGAAUUAUUGGGCGUAAAGCGCACGUAGGCGGUUUGUUAAGUCGGAUGUGAAAUCCCUCGGCUCAACUGAGGAAGUGCAUCCGAAACUGGCAAGCUUGAGUACGAAAGAGGGUCGCGGAAUUCCCGGUGUAGAGGUGAAAUUCGUAGAUAUCGGGAGGAACACCGGUGGCGAAGGCGGAUCUCUGGGCCUUACCUGACGCUGAGGCGCGAAAGCUAGGGGAGCGAACAGG